GGUGAUGAUGAUGGUGGUGAUGGUGGUGGUGGUGAUGGUGGUGGUGGUGGUGGUGAUGACAAUGGUAGUGGUGAUGGCGGUGGCAGUGGUGGUGAUGAUGACGGUGGUGAUGACGGUGGUGGUGGUGUUCCCCUUUUUAAAAAUGCAUGUUCAAAAUGCUUUUCAGUUAAAAUUUGUUUGCUCGUGAGAAAAGGCCUCUCUCCCCUGGGGGAAUCUCAAAACACUUUCUGGGGCACUGGAGAGGAGGGGUCUUGGGCUGGACUCUGGAUAAAACAGACCCUGACAAAUUGAGGUGCCGAGGCCGGAAGGGCCGGGCUCUGCACCGGCGGGGAGGCCUUGUUCCUCCCGCAGGUACACGCCUCCUCUCAGGAUCCUGGCUGCGAGGUGACACCAGACAUGCGGAAGGUUCUUGGAGAAGGUGUGAGGAACAAACCUGUCCUCGCUGCUCCCAUCUGCAGAGGCUCUGCUUUGUGGCACAGGCCUCAGCUUACUGCCUCUCAGCCUCACAACAGCCCUGAGGCGUGGGUGUUACUAUCCUCAUUUCACAAUUACCCUCAUUUUGCAGAAAACAGGCUCAAAGCCGGAACACAAGUCUCCCGGUGACAACCACAGGCGGGGACAGGGAGAGCUGGGGAGGACGCUGGGCUCCGGCAGGAAGGACGGGCCAUUGCUGCGCCGCCACGGCCGCCUGCCUUUCCCUUUAUGUCCCGCCCGCUCCGUCUGUGUCUACACGCCGCUGCAUUAGUAGAUCGCUCCAGCUUGGGAUCUUCUGUGAUCUUUUUUCUGUUCGCUUUGAUGUUUUGGCACAUGCAUAUCCCCUGUGAAGUCAUCUCUUCCAUCGAGACAGAACAUAUCUGUCACCCCCAAAUGGUUUCCUCCUGGCCCCUCCCGCACCCCCUCCUCCAGUAGGCACCCGCCUGCUCCCCUCACUGCCGAUGAGUUCGUGCUUCCUGGAGUUUUAAGUGUCCUCUCAUCUUGUCUGGCUUCUUUCACUCAGCACAGUGGUUCUGAGAGUCCUCACCGCGCCCUGUGUCUUGAUGGCUCAUUUCUUGGAGUCUUCCUUGAAUUCUCGUGAUAAGCCCUACUUGGUCGUGGCCUAUUAUUCCUUUCAUACUCUGCUAGAUUUGGUUUGCAAAUGGUUAACCUAGGACUUAAGCAUCUAUAUUCCUUCAUGAGGGUGAAGACACAAGCUCUGGACCCAGAAGAGACCAACCAGAUAGCCAGCAACAGCCUAGAAAGAACCUGGCAGAAGCUUCAGGGCUCUGGCAACAAAAGUUUAGGAAGCUGUGUGAUUGAUGAUCUCUGGUGUGAGUGGCGCUCUGCGGCUCCUGCUGGCCAGGGGCCGCGAUGGUCUCCUCCCUGAGUGCAGAGCAACUUCCGCUGAAUUAACCCACUCAUCGCAAUUUCAGGUUUCCUUAGAAGAAGAAAACAAAGUCAUUUUUUUUAACUUUAUUAAUUCCAGAGAGAAUUCAGAAGGGUAAAAAGCCAAAUAAUUAUUAUAAAAUGCUUGAAAAAGCAGACCCAAUCCAUGACAAGCUGGGAAAGAAAGUCAUCAUGUGGUCACUGGAGCAAAGCAGAAACUCACGAUCUUUAUGAUAACUGAAAAACAUUCUUCCUGGUCAUCACGUCUGAGAAGAAAUGGUGUCCUCUGGGCAGAUACCUAAGCAAGGAGGGGGAGACGGGAGAGGGGCCAGGGUGAGGAGGGCUGGGGAAAGCGGGGAGAGAGGGGCAGAGCAGAGAGACAAAAACUGGGGAGGACAAGAGAGCGGAAGGAUGAGAAAAAGGAAAAGAGACAACGAGAGGGAGAGAAAAGGGACCCGGGAAAGAGAAAGAUCUUAGUCAUUUGAAAAAGCAUCAACCAAGGGAAGCCAGUCCUGGACGUCUCUGAACCUUUAAGCAAAAAGUGACACCUGAGCAGCUCUGAGGGCAGAGGGGCAGGGGUGUGAGGAGAGGGGUCUGUCGUGGGUUGAAGUGUAUCCCCCAAAAAGAUACGUUCAAGUCCUCACUCCCAGCACCUGUGGACGUGACCUUAUUUGGAAGCAGGAUCUUUGCAGGUAUAAUCAAAUUAGGCGAGGUCUUAUACUAGAUUAUAUAGAUUAGGGCGGGCCUUACAAGAAGAGGGAAGUGUAGACACAGGCACACAUGGAGAGGAGAACGCCAUGGGAAGCUGGAGGCAGAGAUUGGAGCGAUGCGUCUACGUGCCGAGGAAUGCCAAGCUUUCCAGAAAACACCUGAGCAGGAAGAGGCAGAGAAGGGACCCACGCAAGAGCCUUCGGAGCGAGAGCAGGCCCUGCUGACACCUUGACUUCAGACUCUCGCCUCCAGAACUCUAGGCCAGGUCCGUGGGGGUCCUUUUAAGCUCCCCGGUCGGUGGUAAUUUGUCACGGCAGCCGGAGGAGGUGAAUACAGAGCCCCUAAACAGAGCAGCCACAGCACCCACAACGGGCUGAACUGCGUCCCCUCGAAAGUCGUGUGUUGAAGUCCUAACCCCCAGUGCCUCAGACCGUGCAUGUGUUUGGAGGUAAAGUCUUUAAAGAAGUGAUUAAAUUCAAGUGAUGUCAUUAGGAGCCGUAAUCCACCUUAUAAGAAGAGGAUGUUUGGACACAGACAGAGGGCGGCAGACCACAGGAAGACGGGAGACGACCAAGGAGAGAGGCCUCAAAAGAAACCAGCCCACCGCCUUGAUCGCGGAUCUGUAGCCUCCAGAGCUGUGAGGAGCAAACUUCUGUUGUUUGCGUCACCUAGUCUGUGGUACCUUGUAUGGCAGCCCCAGCAGACUAACGUGCCCCCCACCCCUCACUGCUCAGCCCCGCUGGGUCGGGGGCAGCUGGGGCCUCUCCUGUCUGCCUCUGGCCUCCGCGGCCGCGGGCGGGCUCGGGGGUGGGAGGAGCCGGGCGCUGCGCUGUGGGCUCUGCCCGGGGCCUGCCCAGCCCUUGCGGGAGCACAGUCCUCCUCCCGCGCCAGGGGAGCCAGCCCCGUGGUGCCUCUGCACAGCCGGCGUCCACUGGCCCCCCUGGGCCGGGCUCCCCUGCGGGCCUCAGCCGGCCCUUCCUCCCCGGGCUGGAGCUUCCCACACGCCCAGGCCACCAACACGACUCGAAGGCUGGAGCUGGUGCACCACGCAGGACAGGGUAAUGAUGGUGACAGACCCGGGUUCCACCUCUGGGCAAACGGUUUCUAUGUUUCAAUUCUGUCUCUAACACUCCAUUUUCUCUCAGGUCUGGCAACUCAUCUUUCAGAGCUGCCUGCUGUUGAAUGGACUCAUAUUUCUAAGGAGAACGUCAGAGCAGAAAGGAUUCUGCUUCUUUUUUUGUGUUAUUUUGAACAGAUGAGAAAACUAAGGCCCAGAAAGGGGAAGAGACUUGUCCCAGGCCUCACAGCUAUUUGGGGUUGAAUCGAAUCCAGACCACCAGGCUCCUGAGGCCAGGCAUGCUUAACACAAGCACCUCGGGAGUUCUCAAACGGUCCAGUUAGGUCACUGUUUUUUCUGCCUAACAGUCACAUGAAGAUUUGGGGUGGGCUGCAGAGAUUUUGCCAAUUUUUCUUUCUUUCUUUUUUUAAAGAUUCGCUCCUGAGCUAACAACUGUUACCAAUCUUUUUUUUUCUUUUCUGCUUUUUCUCCCCAAACCCCUCCAGUACAUAGUUCCAUAUUUUAGUUGUGGGUCCUUCUGGUUGUGCUAUGUGGGACGCCGCCUCAUCAUGGCCUGAUGGUGGUGCCAUGUCCAUGCCCAGGAUCUAAACCAGCGAAACCCUGGGCUGCCCAGGUUGAGCGUGCGAACUUAACCACUCGGCCAUGGGGCCGGCCCCUCCAAUUUUAAAAGCACUUCAGCAUCUUAUUUACUCCAGCUAAAUCCAGUUCAUGUCAUCGUCAAUAAACUGUGAGUUAACAAAGACCUUUUAUUACAAAAAUAAAUUUCGGUAGUAACUGCUCAAUUGGACCCUUUGCAAUUAAAAAUAAAACCAUGCAGUAAAGAGAAAUGCAAUUCACAACAAACUAAGUUGUUCCUCUCUUUGCCCUCCACCCACCUGGGCUCCACAAUUUGCUUCUCAAUUUCAAACCAUUUACUGGCAAUAGGUUGUUUAGUACUGCUCUGUUUUCCAAAUAAUUGGACAAUUUCAUAUUUUUAGCUGAGGAUUGAUUCCCUAACAGUCACACAUCCAUUUAGUCCAUCACAGCCAGCUCUAUCAAGAAAACAGGGAGACAGUGGCCCCCGCCCUCUCCAGCCUGUCAAGGCCGUCCCCCCACUGCCUGUGUGUGUCUCUUUGCUUCCUGUAAUGCCGAAUUUUGACCUUGUCAUUGUCUAAGAUGAAAGCUCAGAGUGUAAGAACCCCAUUGUAUUGUCUGCUCGAGCUGUCAUAAUAAAAUGUCAUAGACUGGGGGGCUUACCGACAGACGCUUCUUUCUCACAGCUCUGGGGGCUGGGGCCUGAGAUCAGGGUGCCCACCAGGCCGGUUCUGGUGAGCUCCACUUCAUACGAUGAAGGAGAGGAAGAAAGCUCUCUUGUGUCUCUCCUUUUAAGGGCACUUACCUCAUCAUGAGGACCCCACUCUCAUGACCUCAACUAAACCUAACCACCUCCCAAAGGCCCCCUCUCCAAAUACCAUCACAUUGGGGUUGAGGCUUUGACGCGUGGUUUUGGGUUCAGUGUACCGUCACUGUAAGGGCUGACUGGUUGUCUGCAUGCACAGUGCUCAUGCGCAAGUCUGCACUUGGAAUCAUACUUGUGGGAAUAAUUUUUCCUCUUGCAUGUCUCCCAUACAAAAACUUGUUUGCCUCCAAGCAGUUUCCCCUUUGGCAUGCUGGCGAGGACCAUCGGAAAGGAAUGGACCAUGUUUGCAUCCCAUUAGUUGAAAGCAAAUGGAAGGGUUGAUUGUGUUCACAGCUCUGGAACUGCUCCUUGUAGCUGCAGAGGCUCUGAACUCCUCCCAGUGGGAGACCCCAGGGGUCUCUGAUAAUUUCCCUCUGAUUAUCCCUGUAUUAAUCCCUCACUCCUCCAACCUUUCUGCAGUUUAUGGGUGAAAUAGCUCUUAGAAAAGUGAAGAAAUUAGGCAAAUGCUUUGGAACAUAAGUGCAGAUAAUCCACAUCCCACAGACUCUCUUUUGUGGGGUUUUUCUAUACAUAUUGACACAGCUAAUCUUUGCUUCUGCAACAUGUACAUAAAUAUUAGCCAAGAUGACUGGCAUACGGUACUGUUAUGGGUCUUUCAAGAAAAUCUCCAACCGAAUCCAAUGUUUCCCAUGUGGCACCUGCCACACCGUGGGCGUGGGAUAUUUAUAGAGCAGUAAUAAUGAUAUUUGAAAACACUGUAAUAUCUAAAGCCUCUACUUCCCUGCAAAUUCCAUCUAGAAGGCUGCAUCUUGCAGACAGAAGCUGCCAGCCGUUCACGGGGAUUGCUGGGAUGCUGAGCAUUGCUGGGGUUCACACGAUGGUGGAUUCCAGCAUUAUCGUCUCUGAACUCUCAUGUGGACGGAAAUACUUGCAGCCCUGCUCCUGCCAUCAGAGUCGAAGAGGAGCAGAAGAUGAAGUUGGAGAUAUGGUCCUUCUAUAUGAGUAAGGCUCAUUAUUGUGUCUGGCAGGCCAGAGGCGUGGGCACUGGUUAGUCACAUUCCAGCCUGAGCUUCAUCACAAGUUAGCCACUGACCGCCCACCAUGUGCCAGGCUGGGGACCCAGAGGUGGAGGGGGCACAGCCUCUGCCUUGGAAGAACACUCAGGCUAUGUGGGAGACAGACGUGCAAACUUUCGACAGUAGCACCUUGUGAUCCAAGCUGGACAGAGGGACGGUCAGGGGCUAUAACCUUAACCCUGAAGGGUGGGGAUCAUCCCGGGAGGUGGUGUUACAGCAGCUGGGUCAAGAAGGACGGCAAGGGGCCAGUGAGCCAACGGGGGAUGCGAGAGGAGGUAGGGCUGCCAGGCAGGGGACCUGCCUGGAGAGGGCCCAGGAAGUCAGAGGGGUACAGUGGUUGGCAGAGACCAGAUCACAGAGGGCCGUGGAUGUAUUGCCAAAGUCAGGGAUAGACUCCACCCAGGGGACUAGGGGAGCCCUGCGGGUCAUGGAUGGGGAGGGUCGUCUGACUUGGAUGGAUAACCCAUUUGGGGUGGGAGGUUUGGGGAAGGGGCGGGCGGGGGCAGGGUGCCCAUGGAGGCUAGUGUAGGAAGCCAGACUAAAGGUGAGUGUGGCCCGAACCAGGGUGAUAGUGACCAUGGGAACCAAGAGCAGGUGGCCCAUUGAGACUGGCUCUAGAGAAAGCAUGGAUGGCCUGGGGCAGGGAGAGGAGAGACUGGUUCUAGAGAAAGCAUGGAUGGCCUGGGGGCAGGGAGAGGAGAGACUGGUUCUAGAGAAAGCAUGGAUGGCCUGGGGGCAGGGAGAGGAGAGACUGGUUCUAGAGAAAGCAUGGAUGGCCUGGGGGCAGGGAGAGGAGAGACUGGUUCUAGAGAAAGCAUGGAUGGCCUGGGGGCAGGGAGAGGAGAGACUGGUUCUAGAGAAAGCAUGGAUGGCCUGGGGGCAGGGAGAGGACAAUCAAGGACUCCCAGGUACAAGCCGGGUCAGCAGGGUGGCGGGUGGCGCCAGCAGCUCAGCCCGGGCGAUUUCCCAUGGAGACCUGGAGCCAGAGAACGAGAGGAUGAGGAUGUGAGACAGCACCACUGAGUCUACAUCCCCGAUGGGCCCCUCAGCACGUGUGGGAGGGAAGGAGACAUUGGCGUAGCUGCGGUACAGCUCCUUAAAUGCCUCAUGGGUCGCCUUCUUAAAGACCUUGACAGCAAGCAAGUCCAGGAAAGAGGACACCCAGGGUGCACCAGGCGCCAUGCCAGGCACUGUACACAGGAGGCCCAGGAACCUCAGGAGACUCUCAUCAGCCUGUCCAUCGCUGCUGUCGGGCCACAGAGGUUUCGUUGAUGCUCCAGAUGCUUAAUUCACCCGGGCACGAUAGCAAAAUUUACACCUAAUCCUCUCUCGUUACCCGUGGAUCGCCAGUGCCCGGAGAUUCCUGGCUUUGAGACUUCGUUAUGUAUUAGUCACUGUUAGAAAGCAGUUUUUCUGACACUUUCAGUAAUAAAUCCCUUUGAUAUGAUCUAUGGUAGCUCUGCCUCAUAGCAAGUUCCAGGCUAAAGCAAGUAAUGGAAUAGCAAACUGCUCUGGAGGCAGGCAGACCUGGUUUGAAUCCUGGUUCUGUCACUAUGGUUUUACCUUACUUAAUCUUUCUGACACUCAGUUUCUUCAUCUGUAAAACGGGGAAAAGCAUAUGAGGGCAGAACCUGGUUGCCCAUCCAACAGCCAUUUCCCUCUUCAUCCUUGCUAACAACAGUGACGACAACGAAAAAUCCUGAUUUUGUUCCAGUCCCGAAGUGCGAAAUCCCAGCAGAUGCGCUGCGUUGAUCUAAACCCUGCAUUCCUGUUGUCAGUGACUGGUUUACAGGGUCUACAGGAAAGCGUGUGACCUAAUUCUGGCCAAGGAUGCUGAAGAGGAAACCUGCCAGAAGCUUCCGAGAAAGAUUUUCCUCUCUGAUAAGAGAGACCCUUGAAGAGAAGGCCCAUCUGCCUUCAUCCACUGGCUCCCUGACCCACGCUGUUUGGUGCUGUGGCAGCCGUCUCUUGAACACGAGGGGAACGAUCACUGACACACUAAAGAUGGCAGAGCAGAAGGACCGAAAGAGCCUAGGGCCUUGGGGACAACACUGAUCUAUUGAGCCGACCUUGGUCCACCUAUCUCCAGAUUUCUUGUUAACAACGUCUUUAUGGUUUAACCUAUUGCGUAUUGAGUUUUGUGUUGCUUGCAGUCAAAAACAAUCCUAACUGACACAAAUACCAACCCCACAAGAUGGUUGUAAAUAAAUGAUACAUUGUAUGUAAAGUACUUAACACAAUACCUGGCACAGUAAGUGGUUGCUAUAUAUAUAUAUUAACAACAUUUAUGAGACAUGGGUAAUGAUCUAAAAGAGCAAAAGUUUCAAAACACAACACAGAUAAAUAAGAUGAACGGUACCGAUUUAGCAUGACAAAAAAGCUUUAUAUUCUCGGUAAGGGUGAGAGGAGACACUGAGGUACAAGACUAUGAUUACAGCCUCAAAUCCUCAUAUCUGGGAGUAAGAUGUAACUAUAGGCAGAAUGUGAACGCUAUUGGAGAUGAAAGGACUGUGGUUCUUGGCCAGGUUUCCAUCCAGCCUCUUACAACAGACAAUCACCCUGUCAGCAGCUCCGAUUCAUGUCUGAAGACCAACAAUUACAUGUGAAUUACCAGCCUUGCAAAGGGGCAGAAUUCUUUCAACUCACAGAAUCUCUUUCCAGAAUACCAAAUUUUACUAGUUGUUUUUUUUUAAGAUUGGCACCUGGGCUAACAACUGUUGCCAAUCUUUUUUUUUUUUUUCUGCUUUAUCUCUCCAAAGCCCCCCUGUACACAGUUGUAUGUCUUAGUUGCAGGUCCUUCUAGUUGUGGGAUGUGGGACGCCGCCUCAACGUGGCCUGACGAGUGGUGCCAUGUCCACGCCCAGGAUCCGAACCCUGGGCCGCCACAGCCAAGCGUGCGAACUUAACCACUGGGCCACGGAGCCGGCCCCAUACUAGUAUUUUCUUAAAAAUAUGUUAUUUCUUUAUAGCAGGAAAGAUAGAUAUACUGACAUAUAUUUAAAAUAUAAUACUCAUUGAGGAAUAUGUUGUCCUAGAUAUCACCUACCAUCUCGGAGCACUGUAGCAACUCAGAGGACUAUGUAUACUUUACACAUGAGACACCAGUUUUUGAAACAACCUACUAGAACACAAAGAAAGAAUACAGUAAAAUAACAUGGGAAAAUACCUAGCUAAUAGAGGUCAUGUCAUGUAAUCAAUACUCAAAGUAAACCAGAUUUUUUUCUUCACUCUGUUUUAGCAAAGAGGCAAAUGACAAGAUUUCAAACCAACACUGAGGAUUAGACACACACACUCAUAUCCACUGCUGUCUAGGGUCAGCGCACAUCCACCCCGAAGCCCAGUGCUCUCUCCAGCGACAGUGCCGUGCGACGAGUGUUGAUUGUCAUAACUGGUGGCUCAUGAGGCUUCACAAAUCCCAGAAUUAUUAAUCGUAUUCAGCAUACAAUAAAAGAGAAGUAAUCAGACAUAUGGACAAAAAUCUGUCAAGGAUUGAAAACAAAAGGUGAUUUCUGGUUACCUUGCAGUUCAUUAAAUAAAAUCACCAAUUCCUGAACAUUUUGGUUAACUGAGAUUUUCUUGUACACUGUACACACACCUGCUUUUCUCAAAAUAUAUCUGCUCCUUUUUCUUUCUUACAAUAAAGGGCAAAACUGUUGGUGGC
rnacentral:lncRNA from 1 species